CUGAAGCAUUGUCUCCUCUCUCCCUAGGACCUGGCCAACCUGGCACCUGGGAAACCUGACUGGGAUCUGAAGAGAGAUGUGGCUAAGAAGCUGGAGAAGCUAGAGAAGCAGACCCAGAGUGCCAUUGCAGAGAUGAUCUGUGAACGGCUGAAAGGCCAGGAGGACAGCCUGGCCUCUGCAGUGGCUGCCAACAUUGAACCAGAGGCCUGUGACUCCGACUGACAUGUUUUCCUAUUUCAUCUCUUCAGCACAGACAUCUCCUCUGAUGUAAAUUGUGCUUUUUAACUUCUAUAAAUAAAGCUUUCUUUAAUAGA